CACAGAAGCAAUACAUCUCAGUUGAGACGAAUUCUGUCCUAAAGUGUGAGUUCCUGUGUUCCUGCUUACAUGAGACUUUUUUCUCUGUAUCCUAGGCAUGUCCUUCAGGGGGCUGUGACUUCGGGUGCAGUGGGAGAAGGGGCCUUAUCAGCAGGAAACUAUCUCCAGAGUUUCCAGAAAUCUGGAUUAGGAUCUACAGAAAAUGUGGUCUAUCAGGGUGUGGCAAAGACGAUUACAAGAAGGUGCAGCAGAAAGAGAAGGGGAAGCUGAAGAGUGACCUCCAUGGGGAGCAGCGGAGGUGGAGCACGUGCGCCUGGUUUUGGCAUCUAUCCAUGGAUCUACUGAAAGGUGAGCUACUCUAGACAUCAUUUUAUUUUCACGUAAAGCUCUUGAAGAUCAAAAAAACCCGUGAAGAUCCACAAGCCGCUUUUCACACAAUCGAGAGUCCUGGAAUGUCAGAGUUCAAUGAGCAUUGAGAGGGUGCGUUGACAUGCAGAAUGGUGGCUUCUCAGGCCCCGUAACAAACAGAGGGUGAACCAGGAGUGGAGGCAGCCUUCUAUGCAAACACUUCUAGGCAAUGUUGUAAAUAAUACAAUUGUGUAUCAGAAAGAACACAGAUUCUGAA